GAUUUUAUUGUGUUUUGAGAAGACUUAUUUAUCCGACUGACUUCUGUAAGAAUUGAAGUUUGAGACGGAUCUUUAAUUAACUGAAAAACUUGGAGUUUUGUUUUUGGAUUUGUGAUUCGACUUGGAGUUGAAGGAAUUGAAGACUGUUUUCUUCGAGUUCAAUCGAAGUUAUGGAAGAACGGGACACUAGUAGAAUAAAUAUGGGGAUGUCAGAUGUGAUUCUUGGCUGUGUAAUGCCCUAUAUUCAUGACCCCAAAGAUCGUGACGCUGUCUCACAAGUUUGCCGUAGAUGGUACGAGCUCGAUGCCCUUACUCGUAAGCAUGUUACCAUAGCUCUUUGCUACACCACCACACCGGAACGGUUACGGCGGCGGUUUAUUCAUCUCGAAUCCUUGAAACUGAAGGGUAAACCUAGAGCUGCGAUGUUUAAUUUGAUACCUGAGGAUUGGGGAGGAUACGUAACUCCAUGGGUAAGGGAGAUUGCUGAUUCUUUCAAUUGCUUGAGGUCUCUUCACUUCCGGCGUAUGAUUGUCGUAGAUUCGGAUCUGGAGCUUCUUGCUCGUGCACGAGGCCGUGUCCUUCUGUCGCUUAAACUUGAUAAAUGCUCUGGAUUCUCCACUGAUGGACUGUUCCAUAUCGGACGCUCUUGCAGGAAUUUAAAAACAUUGUUUCUGGAAGAGAGCUCAAUUCUCGAGAAAGAUGGGGAAUGGCUACAUGAACUUGCUAGGAACAACACAGUCCUUGAGACGUUAAAUUUUUACAUGACAGAUCUUACCCAAGUCAGAUUUGAAGAUCUUGAACUGAUAGCCAAAAACUGCCGUUCCUUAAUUUCUGUGAAAAUUAGUGAUUGUGAAAUCCUUGAUCUCGUGGGCUUCUUUCGCGCUGCUGGUGCUUUGGAGGAAUUUUGUGGAGGUUCCUUCAAUGAUGAACCAGAGAAGUAUGCAGUUGUAGCCUUGCCUCAGAAUCUCCGUAAUUUGGGUCUUACAUACAUGGGAAGGAAUGAAAUGCCAAUAGUUUUCCCUUUUGCAAACCUUCUCAAGAAGUUGGACCUCUUGUAUGCUCUGCUUCAUACAGAAGACCAUUGUACUUUAAUUCAGAGAUGCCCCAACUUAGAAGUGCUUGAGACUAGAAAUGUGAUUGGAGAUAGAGGAUUAGAAGUACUUG
rnacentral:misc_RNA from 1 species